UAUUUGGACACUUUCUCUGCUCUUUUUGUUGCUGUUUCUUCUUUUCUGUGUUGUUGUUGGCAUUUGUAGAAUGCUAAAAAGGCCACUUUAGUUUUAACCACAAAGUUUGCUUCGGUGUAUGUGUUGUCGACCUCGUUGCACUUUUUGGAAGGCUUAGAGAAGCCUGGGGGCAUCGCUCUUUCAUGUCAUUUAACUAUGUUUCAGUCAGGAGGACAAUUGUGCUCAGGUCUGGUCCGGUCCGAGUAUUAGUCCAAGGCCAGCCCCCAGUCCCAGUCCCAGUCCCAGUCCCUGCCAAACCGAUUCAACUUAGUCCUCAGUCAGGCAGGCGUUGAUUGCCAGGCAUUUAAAGUGUUUUCAAUGUAAAUCUAUGUAAAUACAUGCUGUUAAAUAAAAGAGCAACUCUGGUCCAUGGGCCGGAAUGGAAACUUUCGACUGGAUAAAUUGUAUAGCCAUAUUUGUUUGUUUUUGCUAGCUCAAUGCACGUUCCCAAUGGUAGUACCCCAAUGCCCCCAUGUGAGCACUCUUCCUCAGACGAUUCGUAAGACCUUAAGCCAGUCGCUCUUUAAGCCGUAUUUAUGCACAGCUUUUGGUCCAUGUUUAGCUUUCAUUUCCCUUUCUUUUUUAAAUACCCUUGCAGGGAGUACUGUGACUUUUAGGCUUAUAAAGUCUCUGACAUCAGUCCAACAAAAGUUGGCUGUGGAAAAGUGCCCAAUUCGUAGCAUAAUACAAAAAUCUUUGUAACAUUUUUGAACUGUCACUAGUCAAUAUGGCAAAAUGUAAAAAAUGUAAGAAAACUAAAGCUUAUAAAAGAAGGCUACAAAAUUACUCGAGUAAUACGCAAAAAGCUCUCGGUUUGACCAAUAAUGGAUUUUGGAACUUCUUGCGGGAGUUCAGAAGGAAGCAUUACAGGCUGCCGCCAAAAACUUUGAUCCCACAUGGCACCAGGGCUUGGUGUAAGCUCACAAGCAAACAGAAGGAAAAGUAUACCAAAAUGGUAAUAAAGAUUAUAUUUUGUUAUAUUUUGUACUUAUCUUUCAAUUAUAUUCAACAGAAACGGGCCGCGUGGGAACAAGAUCUUUCGUUACUGUGUUUAUGGCAGAUUUUUAAACCCAAACCCCUUACCGUGGCCUCACUUGAUCCAUAUCAAAGCAGCAAAAUAACCAAACAAAUACUUCUUUAAUAUUUUGUGUAUGUCAAAUUUCAAAAUCUGUAAUAGCAUUCAAAUUUCCCCAUCUGAUUAUGUGCCGCC
rnacentral:lncRNA from 1 species